rnacentral:rRNA from 1 species
UGGGGAAUUUUUCCGCAAUGGGGCGAAAGCCUGACGGAGCAAUGCCGCGUGGAGGUGGAAGGCCUACGGGUCGUCAACUUCUUUUCUCGGAGAAGAAACAAUGACGGUAUCUGAGGAAUAAGCAUCGGCUAACUCUGUGCCAG